GACGAACGCUGGCGGCGUGCUUAACACAUGCAAGUCGAACGAUGAACUGGAGCUUGCUCCAGGGAUUAGUGGCGAACGGGUGAGUAACACGUGAGUAACCUGCCCUUGACUCUGGGAUAAGCGCUAGAAAUGGCGUCUAAUACCGGAUACGAGCUUCAGCCGCAUGGCUAGGAGUUGGAAAGAAUUUUGGUCAAGGAUGGACUCGCGGCCUAUCAACUAGUUGGUGAGGUAAUGGCUCACCAAGGCGACGACGGGUAGCCGGCCUGAGAGGGUGACCGGCCACACUGGGACUGAGACACGGCCCAGACUCCUACGGGAGGCAGCAGUGGGGAAUAUUGCACAAUGGGCGAAAGCCUGAUGCAGCACGCCGCGUGAGGGAUGACGGCCUUCGGGUUGUAAACCUCUUUUAGUAGGGAAGAAGCGAAAGUGACGGUACCUGCAGAAAAAGCACCGGCUAACUACGUGCCAGCAGCCGCGGUAAUACGUAGGGUGCAAGCGUUGUCCGGAAUUAUUGGGCGUAAAGAGCUCGUAGGCGGUUUGUCGCGUCUGCUGUGAAAUCUGGGGGCUCAACCCCCAGCCUGCAGUGGGUACGGGCAGACUAGAGUGCGGUAGGGGAGAUUGGAAUUCCUGGUGUAGCGGUGGAAUGCGCAGAUAUCAGGAGGAACACCGAUGGCGAAGGCAGAUCUCUGGGCCGUAACUGACGCUGAGGAGCGAAAGCAUGGGGAGCGAACAGGAUUAGAUACCCUGGUAGUCCAUGCCGUAAACGUUGGGAACUAGAUGUGGGGGCCAUUCCACGGUCUCCGUGUCGCAGCUAACGCAUUAAGUUCCCCGCCUGGGGAGUACGGCCGCAAGGCUAAAACUCAAAGGAAUUGACGGGGGCCCGCACAAGCGGCGGAGCAUGCGGAUUAAUUCGAUGCAACGCGAAGAACCUUACCAAGGCUUGACAUAUACCGGAAACGUCCAGAGAUGGUCGCCCCGCAAGGUCGGUAUACAGGUGGUGCAUGGUUGUCGUCAGCUCGUGUCGUGAGAUGUUGGGUUAAGUCCCGCAACGAGCGCAACCCUCGUUCUAUGUUGCCGGCACGUUAUGGUGGGAACUCAUA
rnacentral:rRNA from 1 species